UACGGGGGGAGCAAGCGUUGUUCGGAUUUACUGGGCGUAAAGGGCGCGUAGGCGGCCACCGCAAGUCGACUGUGAAAUCUCCGGGCUUAACCCGGAAAGGUCAGCCGAUACUGCGGGGCUAGAGUGCAGAAGGGGCAACUGGAAUUCCCGGUGUAGCGGUGAAAUGCGUAGAUAUCGAGAGGAACACCUGCGGCGAAGGCGGGUUGCUGGGCUGACACUGACGCUGAGGCGCGAAAGCUAGGGGAGCGAACGGG
rnacentral:rRNA from 1 species